AGCGAGAUGGAGCAGCCUGGUUAGCUCGCAGGGCCCAUAACCCUGAGGUCGGGUGGUUCAAAUCCCCCUCUCGCUA
rnacentral:tRNA from 1 species